AGUGAACGCUGGCGGUAGGCCUAACACAUGCAAGUCGAACGGCAGCACAGUAAGAGCUUGCUCUUACGGGUGGCGAGUGGCGGACGGGUGAGGAAUACAUCGGAAUCUACUUUUUCGUGGGGGAUAACGUAGGGAAACUUACGCUAAUACCGCAUACGACCUACGGGUGAAAUCAGGGGAUCUUCGGACCUUGCGCGAUCGAAUGAGCCGAUGUCGGAUUAGCUAGUUGGCGGGGUAAAGGCCCACCAAGGCGACGAUCCGUAGCUGGUCUGAGAGGAUGAUCAGCCACACUGGAACUGAGACACGGUCCAGACUCCUACGGGAGGCAGCAGUGGGGAAUAUUGGACAAUGGGCGCAAGCCUGAUCCAGCCAUGCCGCGUGGGUGAAGAAGGCCUUCGGGUUGUAAAGCCCUUUUGUUGGGAAAGAAAAGCAGCAGGUUAAUACCCCGCUGUUCUGACGGUACCCAAAGAAUAAGCACCGGCUAACUUCGUG
rnacentral:rRNA from 1 species